CGACGCCCUUGGGGAAACAGUGAGCCCUCUGGGUUGCAGAGAUCGGGAUGCAGAAGCCCAACAGGAAGUGACGGAUGCCAUGGAGCUGAGCUGGGGCAAGUGCUGGAACCGCGGUCCUCCUAACACCAGCUGUGGCUAACACAUCUCCGCUGGGGCAUCUCAUCCGGGCGGACGGAACAGGAUGCGGAGCCUUGACUCUCCUGGCAGGGAAGGACUUGCUGGUUCUGCUGUCCAGCUGCACCGCUGGAAGGAAGAGGAGGCCAAAACCUCGUGUGACUGUCUGAGGACACACAGCAAGUCCUGGACCCCAGGCUCCCUGUUUUCUUCAAUAACUGGUCUGUGCUGGCUCUUGGAGGCGCUGAGGCAGGGCACAGAGGCUCUCAGGCGUAUUGACAGAGGCCACUUGUGUCCCUCAUGCCCCCAAAGAUCUGAGGAGGGGGCUUCUGACAGCGGCCAGCUCCUCCCUUUCUCAGCCUCCCUUAUGGGUCAGGUGACCACAUUCUGGCCAAUGAGACCUAAGGGGACAUUUGCUUUUCCCUCCCUGAUACAAGUUAAGGAGCAUUUGAAGACAUGAUGUACAAAUCUGGAGUAGCCAUCUCCUGCCGGAUGUGAAGGGAGGUGGCACCAACAGCCAAGGGGACGGAGUGAUGGCAGAGAGGCUCUUUAGUGACACUGCUGAGCACUGAGCAUGCCUGGGAACAGCCUGCCUCCCGAGUUCUUGUUUUUUGGGUGAAGUCACAAAAUGUCUACAUUGACCAAGCCACUGCUAACUGGCAGCCAAAGUCCCUGGAAGGCCCAGGAGCCUUGCCUUGACCAGAGCUUCAGCACAGUCUGCACUCAGGUGGCCCCUGAAAGAGUUACUCAGCUUUCCUGGUCCUCAGCAGCCCGUUUUGUAGGUCAGCCCAGCUGGCUGUCAAGCUUACUCCAGUGACCACCUCAGGC
rnacentral:lncRNA from 1 species